rnacentral:lncRNA from 1 species
UCCUCUUUCUACUGUACUACUGCUGCUGCACAAGAAGGACAUGUGUUGAGCUCAAACCAAAAAAGGAAAAGAAGAAAUCAUGUCCUAGGAAGGAAUGCAUCCAGAAACAAAGGAGCAGCUAGGUAGCAAGCAAAAAUAAAUCGAGUAUUUAAAUUAUUCAAGCUAUCAAGCAACUCUUGAGCUUGACAUCUCCUGUGUACAUAGUACCAACCAAAUUAACUGUCGAGAUUAUGUUUAUUCUAGCUGUACAACAUGAACAAAACAGUAGACUGCAUAAAUAAAAAGAACCAAAAGCCCAUAAAGAUUCUACGGACCAGCAUCACUAUCUCCAGUUAACUACAAUUCAGUAAUCGUCAUUGCUCAAAAUAUCAGAGCCUAUGCCUAAGCCCAGGAGGAAGACAAAUCAUGGCAGGCAGGGCGAGAGGCGUCGGUCGGAGUGGAAGAAGAAUCACCAUCAUAGUGGUGCACCUUCACACUUGAGGGAAGUGACCGCAUCAGGCAAGGGAAGGGCGGCCAAAUCAAAAUCGAAUAUGAAACGAACAGAGGGG